AAUGAAGUGCCUGACCCCAAAAGGACUAUCUUGAUAGGAUAGAAAAUGCACACAUGUGCCUUCAUUA
rnacentral:tRNA from 1 species